rnacentral:lncRNA from 1 species
UUUAAUUUUGAUGACUUUCAGAAACUUCUGAAUCGUUCAUACGUAACCCCAAGUUUUCUUGCGCCCGCCGAUGUUGGACGUAAUGAGUUUUACUUGGGUCCUUUCUUCAACAAUGCUGAAGCAAUCGAACAGGCGGCGGUGGGUCAGUCGUUUCCUUGCACUCAUGGCCCUCCUUUUCUGAAUUCUUUGCCGCUAGGGCCACUUCGUGAAAAAGGUAUUCGCACUUGGCCCAAAUCUGACGUAGCUUUUCGUAGGUGGCAUGCUCGUCUUGUGGGUCAUGGUCCUACUAAGGCACUUUUUGAUAGCGCUAGGAUUUCUGAUUUGUUAGAAAUCUCUAUUCGCCCCCCUACUUUUGAUUCAGCGCUCUUUCCGAUUGAUUUGAGCUUUUGGUCCUCUGAGUAUAACACCUUUAUUUUUCCUCUUGGCCCCAUGUCUAUUACGUUAAGGGAUGUUGGGGCCCUGGUAAAUUUACCACCUUUGGGUGAUACCAUUUUCCCAGGCAUCUUAGUUUCUGGUGGCGCCCCUCAGUUCGGUAAAAACUAUACCGAUUCUUAUUCAAGCCUGCAGACACUGCACAAUCAUUCGAGUGCUGAGCCUACUCAUGCUGAGCGAGUGGCCUUCCUUUUACUUUGGCUUUGUAAAUAUGUGUUGUGCGUGCCUAGUAUAAAGCCCUCUCUGAGUUAUCUACCUAUAGCGCAUGAACUGGCGCGUGGCAGGCCUUUGAAUUUAUGUUCUUUGUUUUUGGCUGCCCUUUA